UACGGAGGGUGCGAGCGUUGUCCGGAAUCAUUGGGCGUAAAGGGCGCGUAGGUGGCGGUCUUAAGCGUGCGGUGAAAGCUCGGGGCUCAACCCCGAGUCGGCCGUGCGAACUGAGUCGCUUGAGCACUGUAGAGGCAGGCGGAAUUCCGGGUGUAGCGGUGGAAUGCGUACGAGAUCCGGAAGAACACCGGUGGCGAAGGCGGCCUGCUGGGCAGUAGCUGACACUGAGGCGCGGACAGCGUGGGGA
rnacentral:rRNA from 1 species